rnacentral:rRNA from 1 species
AUUGAACGCUGGCGGCAUGCCUUACACAUGCAAGUCGAACGGCAGCACGGGAGCAAUCCUGGUGGCGAGUGGCGAACGGGUGAGUAAUAUAUCGGAACGUGCCCAGUCGUGGGGGAUAACGCAGCGAAAGCUGUGCUAAUACCGCAUACGAUCUACGGAUGAAAGCGGGGGAUCGCAAGACCUCGCGCGAUUGGAGCGGCCGAUAUCAGAUUAGCUAGUUGGUGAGGUAAAGGCUCACCAAGGCGACGAUCUGUAGCUGGUCUGAGAGGACGACCAGCCACACUGGAACUGAGACACGGGCCAGACUCCUACGGGAGGCAGCAGUGGGGAAUUUUGGACAAUGGGCGCAAGCCUGAUCCAGCAAUGCUGCGUGCAGGAUGAAGGCCUUCGGGUUGUAAACUGCUUUUGUACGGAACGAAACGGUGAACUCUAAUACAGUUUGCUAAUGACGGUACCGUAAGAAUAAGCACCGGCUAACUACGUGCCAGCCGCCGCCGAAA